rnacentral:misc_RNA from 1 species
AACGCACCUUGCGCUCCUUGGUAUUCCGAGGAGCAUGCCUGUUUGAGUGUCAUGAAUAUCUCAACUUCAAAUGUUUGCGCAUUUGAAGCUUGGACUGUGGAGGUUGCCGGCGUUCAUCCGUCGGCUCUUCUGGAAUGCAUUAGCUGGAACCGUCACGAAAUUGGCGCCUCGGUGUGAUAAUCUAUCUACGCCGUGAAAGUCAGAGUAGUGUUGUCGGGGCCGCUUCCAACUGUCUUUGGACAAAUUCAUUUUAAGAUCUGGCCUCAAAUCAGGCAGGACUACCCGCUGAACUUAA